rnacentral:rRNA from 1 species
AAACCAUUUUUUACCCCAAGUACGGGAGACGAAAAAGGAAAUACCUGGAGCUAUAGAAAAAGUACCGCAAGGGAAAGCUGAAAGAGAAAUGAAACAAACCAACAAAGUAAGAAAAAGCAGAGACUAAUCCUCGUACCUUUUGCAUCAUGAUUUAGCAAGUUAAAUUAAGCAAAGAGCCCUUUAGUUUAAUACCCCGAAACUGAGUGAGCUACUCCAAGACAGCCUCUAGACAGGGCAAACCCGUCUCUGUGGCAAAAGAGUGGGAAGAUCUUCGAGUAGUGGCGACAAACCUACCGAACUCAGUUAUAGCUGGUUGCUUGAGAAUUGAAUAUAAGUUCAGCCUCUCAGCUUCUUUAACUCAUACAUUACCAAACCUAAAGAAAAGUAGAAACUAAGAGAGUUAGUCAAAGGGGGUACAGCCCCCUUUGAAACAGGUACAACUUUAACAGGAGGGUAAGGAUCAUAUUAAUAAAGGAAUAUGUACUACGUGGGCUUUAAAGCAGCCAUCCAAUUACAAAAGCGUAACAGCUCAAACAACAACCCAAUCCCCAAAUCAGGAUAACACCAUCCAAACCCCCUAACACUAUCAGGCCAUCCCAUAAACAUGGAAGAGACCAUGCUAAUAUGAGUAAUAGGAGAGGUGCCCCUCUCUCCAGUGUACAUGUGUAAGUUGGAGUGACAACCAACCAACUAUUAACGACCACAACCUAAAAGAGCGCAAUGAAGUAGACAUAGAAAACUAGAAAAACCUUCAAUUAAAAAUCGUUAACCCAACACAGGCGUACAACAAAGGAAAGACUAAAAGGAUAAGAAGGAACUAGGCAAAAUUCAUAGCCUCGCCUGUUUACCAAAAACAUCGCCUCUUGACUGCAAUAUAAGAGGUCCUGCCUGCCCAAUGACAACAUGUUGAAUGGCCGCGGUAUCUUAACCGUGCGAAGGUAGCGCAAUCACUUGUCUUUUAAAUGAAGACCUGUAUGAAUGGCAAGACGAGGGCUUAACUGUCUCCUUUCCCCAGUCAAUGAAAUUGAUCUCCCCGUGCAGAAGCGGGGAUAACAACAUAAGACGAGAAGACCCUGUGGAGCUUUAGACAAAAACCGUCCAUGUUAAACACCACCAAAUAAGGGAAGUAAAAUAAUGGCACCCGUUUCAUAGUCUUCGGUUGGGGCGACCUUGGGGAAAUACAAAACCCCCAUAUGGAAGGAAGCAUUCACCCUCCCAAUCAUACGCUUCCAAAAGCUAGAGAAUACAACUCUAACUAACAGAAUUUCUGACCUUCCUUGACCCGGCUAAAGCCGAUCAAUGAACCAAGUUACCCCAGGGAUAACAGCGCAAU